rnacentral:rRNA from 1 species
AUGGCAACUUAUUUAUCUGACUUGAUUAGAGAGUAUUAUUUAGAUUUUAUUGGUAUCCAGGAAACAAUGAAGAAGGAUUUUUCCUCUAAGUUCUUGAGGAAAUUUGAUCCAGGGGAGUUUUGUUGGAAUUGGAUUCCUGCGGUUGGUAAAUCUGGAGGUAUUUUGUGUGGUGUUAAACAUGAUACUUUUGAUAUUAGGUCCUGCAAGGCAGGAAAAUAUGUUAUGAAACUUGAGUUAUGGGAUAAAAGUAAAAAAAGGAAUUACUGUGUUCUUGUAGUGUAUGGAUCUGCACAUGAGGAAUAUAAAGUGGAGUUCUUGACUGAGCUCUCUGACAUGUGUAGCAAUAUUGCAUGCUCCUAUAUUGUCGGAGGUGAUUUUAAUAUACUUAGAUAUGUUAGUGAGAAGAACAAGAAAACUAGAAUAAGUCACUCUUCUGAUCUCUUUAAUCUCAUCAAUUCCUUUUGUCUAAGAUAAGUAGACAUGAAUGGUGGUAUAUAUACUUGGUAUGAUAAUCAGCAAAAUCCUCCCCUUAAAAAGUUGGGUAGAAUUCUUAUGUCCAGUUCUUGGGAAAGCCAAUUUCCUUUGACUUUUAUUAGAAAGCUGGUUAAACAAAUUUCACAUCACUUCCCCCUGAUUCCGAAUACUGAACAUUUUAUCCCUACUCAUAUGCAGAAAAGAUAAUUUAGAUUUGAUCUGAAUUGGGUCAAGAAUCCUGAUUUUGUUCCCUUAGUUGCUAAGGUGUGGAUGAAACCUGUUAAAUCCAAUGAUCCCAUUGAUAUUUUGAACAUUAGUUGA